GCACCCUUAGCUCAGUUGAAUAGAGCGUCUGACUUCGGAUCAGAAGGUCGCAGGUUUGAGUCCUGCAGGGUGCGCCA
rnacentral:tRNA from 2 species